UAAAACAUAACAUGCCAAGCUAAAAUUAACAAAAACUUUUCGUGCUCACCGUACUUUCAUCACCUUAAAAAACAGCGUAAUUCGAAACAAUGAAACCGAAAACGGAAGCAAAGUUACACCAGCUGACUGCCGUCUGGACAAGCUAAUGUAGAGCCCCAUAGACAUUUGCAUGGAACGCAUUUCGAGGAUGGAGGGGAUUCAGCUUGCCCAGUUGCUAAUGAACCAGGACCGCCAUAAACACUAACGCACACGAUGUUUAAAGCACUCACGUCCGUGUAAUUAUGCAGACCGGAACAAGCAAGUGGCAGGGGCAAAAACGAGUCCUGCAAACAAAGGAACGAGCUGGCACACACUUACAUACACUAAUACUAGCGAAAGCUCACACACACCACCGCCCCUGCACGUGUCUCACAUUUGCAAACACACGCCGAGAUUUAAGCGCUCGGAAAAAAAGGCAUUUAGCUCGGGAUAGUUCAGAGCGCGUGGGUGCUUCAAAUAGAAUGGGCUGGAAAAGGAGUUUUCGGAGAAAGAGACAUUUGGCUUGAUUUCUGUUUAGUUCGGCGCAGAAAUAUUCUGAAUAUUUGUCUAAUUGUUAAGCAGUUUGAAUAAAAUGCUCUAUGUCCUAGA